AAAUGAAUUAAAAAUAACCAGAAAAGAGAAAAUUCACAAAAAAUAUCAAAUGAUAAAAUAAAAAAUAUUAAAAAUCAUUUUUAGAAACUAGAAUUAAAAAGAGAAAUAAUGCAAUUGGUCCCAUAUUUCUUGGAAUUAAAAUGAGAGAGUUAUGAAUUUUUGAAAUAAAAUGGAAUUAAAGAAAAUAAACAGAAAUUAAGAAAAUAGCAAAAAUCAGGAAGCGUUGGAUGACUUCAUCAAUUGACAUGGCA
rnacentral:lncRNA from 1 species